rnacentral:rRNA from 1 species
GGCGGACGGGUGAGUAACACGUGGGUAACCUGCCUGUAAGACUGGGAUAACUCCGGGAAACCGGGGCUAAUACCGGAUGGUUGUCUGAACCGCAUGGUUCAGACAUAAAAGGUGGCUUCGGCUACCACUUACAGAUGGACCCGCGGCGCAUUAGCUAGUUGGUGAGGUAACGGCUCACCAAGGCGACGAUGCGUAGCCGACCUGAGAGGGUGAUCGGCCACACUGGGACUGAGACACGGCCCAGACUCCUACGGGAGGCAGCAGUAGGGAAUCUUCCGCAAUGGACGAAAGUCUGACGGAGCAACGCCGCCUGAGUGAUGAAGGUUUUCGGAUCGUAAAGCUCUGUUGUUAGGGAAGAACAAGUGCCGUUCAAAUAGGGCGGCACCUUGACGGUACCUAACCAGAAAGCCACGGCUAACUACGUGCCAGCAGCCGCGGUAAUACGUAGGUGGCAAGCGUUGUCCGGAAUUAUUGGGCGUAAAGGGCUCGCAGGCGGUUUCUUAAGUCUGAUGUGAAAGCCCCCGGCUCAACCGGGGAGGGUCAUUGGAAACUGGGGAACUUGAGUGCAGAAGAGGAGAGUGGAAUUCCACGUGUAGCGGUGAAAUGCGUAGAGAUGUGGAGGAACACCAGUGGCGAAGGCGACUCUCUGGUCUGUAACUGACGCUGAGGAGCGAAAGCGUGGGGAGCGAACAGGAUUAGAUACCCUGGUAGUCCACGCCGUAAACGAUGAGUGCUAAGUGUUAGGGGGUUUCCGCCCCUUAGUGCUGCAGCUAACGCAUUAAGCACUCCGCCUGGGGAGUACGGUCGCAAGACUGAAACUCAAAGGAAUUGACGGGGGCCCGCACAAGCGGUGGAGCAUGUGGUUUAAUUCGAAGCAACGCGAAGAACCUUACCAGGUCUUGACAUCCUCUGACAAUCCUAGAGAUAGGACGUCCCCUUCGGGGGCAGAGUGACAGGUGGUGCAUGGUUGUCGUCAGCUCGUGUCGUGAGAUGUUGGGUUAAGUCCCGCAACGAGCGCAACCCUUGAUCUUAGUUGCCAGCAUUCAGUUGGGCACUCUAAGGUGACUGCCGGUGACAAACCGGAGGAAGGUGGGGAUGACGUCAAAUCAUCAUGCCCCUUAUGACCUGGGCUACACACGUGCUACAAUGGACAGAACAAAGGGCAGCGAAACCGCGAGGUUAAGCCAAUCCCACAAAUCUGUUCUCAGUUCGGAUCGCAGUCUGCAACUCGACUGCGUGAAGCUGGAAUCGCUAGUAAUCGCGGAUCAGCAUGCCGCGGUGAA